rnacentral:rRNA from 1 species
UACGGGGGGGGCAAGCGUUGUUCGGAAUUACUGGGCGUAAAGGGCUCGUAGGUGGCCAACUAAGUCAGACGUGAAAAUCCCUCGGCUUAACCGGGGGAACUGCGUCUGAUACUGGAUGGCUUGAGUUCGGGAGAGGGAUGCGGAAUUCCAGGUGUAGCGGUGAAAUGCGUAGAUAUCUGGAGGAACACCGGUGGCGAAGGCGGCAUCCUGGACCGACACUGACACUGAGGAGCGAAAAGCCAGGGGGAGCAAACGGGG